AGAGUUUGAUCAUGGCUCAGAACGUACGCUGGCGGCACGCCUAACACAUGCAAGUCGAACGAAGUAGCAAUACUUAGUGGCAGACGGGUGAGUAACAUGUAGGUAUCUGCCCUUUGGCCUGGAAUAACACGAGGAAACUUGUGCUAAUACCGGAUAAGUCUUUACGGAGAAAGCUUUAUGCACCAUUGGAUGAGCCUGCACUUGAUUAGUUUGUUGGUGGGGUAAUGGCCUACCAAGACUGUGAUCAAUAGCUGAUUUGAGAGGAUGAUCAGCCACAUUGGGACUGAGACACGGCCCAAACUCCUACGGGAGGCAGCAGUGGGGAAUCUUGCACAAUGGGGGAAACCCUGAUGCAGCGAUGCCGCGUGAGUGAAGAAGGCCUUUGGGUUGUAAAGCUCUUUCGUCGGGGAAGAAAAUGACUGUACCCGAAUAAGAAGGUCCGGCUAACUUCGUGCCAGCAGCCGCGGUAAUACGAAGGGACCUAGCGUAGUUCGGAAUUACUGGGCUUAAAGAGUUCGUAGGUGGUUGAAAAAGUUAGUGGUGAAAUCCCAGAGCUUAACUCUGGAACUGCCAUUAAAACUUUUCAGCUAGAGUAUGAUAGAGGAAAGCAGAAUUUCUAGUGUAGAGGUGAAAUUCGUAGAUAUUAGAAAGAAUACCAAUUGCGAAGGCAGCUUUCUGGAUCAUUACUGACACUGAGGAACGAAAGCAUGGGUAGCGAAGAGGAUUAGAUACCCUCGUAGUCCAUGCCGUAAACGAUGUGUGUUAGACGUUGGAAAUUUAUUUUCAGUGUCGCAGGGAAACCGAUAAACACACCGCCUGGGGAGUACGACCGCAAGGUUAAAACUCAAAUGAAUUGACGGGGACCCGCACAAGUAGUGGAGCAUGUGGUUUAAUUCGAAGAUACGCGCAGAACCUUACCAACACUUGACAUGUUCGUCGCGACUCUAAGAGAUUAGAGUUUUCGGUUCGGCCGGACGAAACACAGGUGCUGCAUGGCUGUCGUCAGCUCGUGUCGUGAGAUGUUGGGUUAAGUCCCGCAACGAGCGCAACCCUCACUUUUAGUUGCCAUCAUUAAGUUGGGCACUCUGAAAGAACUGCCAGUGAUAAGCUGGAGGAAGGUGGGGAUGACGUCAAGUCCUCAUGGCCCUUACGUGUUGGGCUACACACGUGCUACAAUGGUAUCUACAACAGGAAGCAAGACUGCGAAGUUAAGCAAAUCCCUAAAAGAUACCUCAGUUCGGAUUGCACUCUGCAACUCGAGUGCAUGAAGCUGGAAUUACUAGUAAUCGUGGAUCAGCGUGCCACGGUGAAUGCGUUCCCGGGUCUUGUACACACCGCCCGUCACACCAUGGGAGUUGGUUCUACCUUAAGGCAAGGUUUCAAACCCUUGACCACGGUAUAGUCAGCGACUGGGGUGAAGUCGUAACAAGGUAGCCGUAGGGGAACCUGCGGCUG
rnacentral:rRNA from 1 species